AAAAGGUGGCUAUGCUACCGCUUUUGGAUGGGCCCGCGGCGCAUUAGCUAGUUGGUGGGGUAAAGGCUUACCAAGGCAAUGAUGCGUAGCCGAACUGAGAGGUUGAUCGGCCACAUUGGGACUGAGACACGGCCCAAACUCCUACGGGAGGCAGCAGUAGGGAAUCUUCCACAAUGGGCGAAAGCCUGAUGGAGCAACGCCGCGUGGGUGAAGAAGGUCUUCGGAUCGUAAAACCCUGUUGUUAGAGAAGAAGGUGCGUGAGAGUAACUGUUCACGUUUCGACGGUAUCUAACCAGAAAGCCACGGCUAACUACGUGCCAGCAGCCGCGGUAAUACGUAGGUGGCAAGCGUUAUCCGGAUUUAUUGGGCGUAAAGGGAACGCAGGCGGUCUUUUAAGUCUGAUGUGAAAGCCUUCGGCUUAACCGGAGUAGUGCAUUGGAAACUGGGAGACUUGAGUGCAGAAGAGGAGAGUGGAACUCCAUGUGUAGCGGUGAAAUGCGUAGAUAUAUGGAAGAACACCAGUGGCGAAAGCGGCUCUCUGGUCUGUAACUGACGCUGAGGUUCGAAAGCGUGGGUAGCAAACAGGAUUAGAUACCCUGGUAGUCCACGCCGUAAACGAUGAAUGCUAAGUGUUGGAGGGUUUCCGCCCUUCA
rnacentral:rRNA from 1 species